UACGUAGGGAGCAAGCGUUGUCCGGAAUCAUUGGGCGUAAAGCGCGCGUAGGCGGCCUCAUAAGUCCGUUGUGAAAGUCAAAGGCUCAACCUUUGAAAGCCGAUGGAUACUGUGAGGCUAGAGUCCGGAAGAGGAGAGUGGAAUUCCUGGUGUAGCGGUGGAAUGCGCAGAUAUCAGGAGGAACACCAAUAGCGAAGGCAGCUCGCUGGGACGGUACUGACGCUAAGGCGCGAAAGCGUGGGGAGCAAACAGG
rnacentral:rRNA from 1 species